GCAUAUCAAUAAGCGGAGGAAAAGAAACCAACAGGGAUUGCCCUAGUAACGGCGAGUGAAGCGGCAACAGCUCAAAUUUGAAAUCUGGCUUUCGGGCCCGAGUUGUAAUUUGUAGAGGAUACUUUUGAUGCGGUGCCUUCCGAGUUCCCUGGAACGGGACGCCAUAGAGGGUGAGAGCCCCGUCUGGUUGGAUGCCAAAUCUCUGUAAAGUUCCUUCGACGAGUCGAGUAGUUUGGGAAUGCUGCUCUAAAUGGGAGGUAUAUGUCUUCUAAAGCUAAAUAUUGGCCAGAGACCGAUAGCGCACAAGUAGAGUGAUCGAAAGAUGAAAAGCACUUUGAAAAGAGAGUUAAAAAGUACGUGAAAUUGUUGAAAGGGAAGCGUUUAUGACCAGACUUGGACUUGGUUAAUCAUCUGGGGUUCUCCCCAGUGCACUUUUCCAGUUCAGGCCAGCAUCAGUUUUCGCCGGGGGAUAAAGGCUUCGGGAAUGUAGCUCUCUUCGGGGAGUGUUAUAGCCCGUUGUGUAAUACCCUGGCGGAGACUGAGGUUCGCGCUUCUGCAAGGAUGCUGGCGUAAUGGUCAUCAACGACCCGUCUUGAACCACGGACC
rnacentral:rRNA from 1 species